rnacentral:tmRNA from 1 species
GGGGAUGACGGGCAUUGAUGAGAAGAACCUUUUAAAAUAUAGCAAGCCGGAGUUAUUAUUCUCCGUGAUUAAAAAUAAUAAAAACAAUAAAUGCCAACGAUAUAGUUGCACAAGCUCGCCAAAUAAUGUUUGGUGAAGCAGAGACUUCUUACGCUUUGGCUUAAAAUCCCAAAGUAACUUAUCUAAUUUUUUCCGGUGGAAUUAAAUAAGUUUAAUUAAUCGGAUAGUUAAUAUUUUGUGGUCAGAAAUAUUAACGAAAAAAUGACCUAAGGAAUAAGAGUUUGCUUAAUUUUACUCUAUUCUCUAAAAAUAAAAUUAAGCUGAGCUUGGAGAAAUAUUUUAAGAGAACUUUUCAGAUGUGAGUUCAACUCUCACCAUCUCCACGA